UAGUAGAGACGGGGUUUCACAGGGUUAGCCAGGAUGGUCUUGAUCUCCUGACCUCAUGAUCCGCCCGUCUCGGCCUCCCAAAGUGCUGGGAUUACAGGCUUGAGCCACCGCGCCCGGCCGGAUCUCUACUAUCUAAUAACAGCCAGAGGCAUGCUUAAUGAAGAGGCUAUUUAACUUUGGUAAAAGGGUUUUUGUGGUUUUGCUUACAUACCUAUCAUGCCCUGUCUCUCAGCCAGGCAACAGCUGAGAGGACAGUGGCCUGUGUUCCUAGUGCAUCUUGAUGGUGCCAGAGCGGGCAAUACAGAUCUUGCUCUCACAGAAAUGUGGGUGUGCUUUGACCUGUCUGGCAGUUCCUGAAGGUUCAGCUCAGAGGUUUGCCUUUGUUUUGCCCCCUCCACACUAGAACAGCCUCACAGUGCUUAUCAGAAGCAUUACCUGCAGCCAUCUGGGGCUGGGGACAGCAAAUGGGGCAGGCAGCAAACACCAAAAAGCUCGGGAAGGAAGUAACUGGGAGGAAGAUAUGUGGGAGAGAGAAGGCUCAGAAGGGCCCUUGUCUGUACUAAGUAGUCUGGAAGGCCACACGCAUGCCUAGCACUGGGCACAGUUUUGGAAAAGACCUGAGAGGACUCUAGGCCUUCACCUCUGACUGAUCGUUAGGCUCCACAGAAGCAGAAGGUGGAAGCUAAAGCAGAAUUUAGGUGGCCUGGCUAAGCGCUGAAGUAAUGCCCAAGUCAGAACCAAUCUGCAAAGCCUGGGAGAAUUAUCAUUUCUAAUGUUUUAUUUUAUUUUAUUUUUUUAAAUGCAGACAUGGUCUUGCUUUGUUGCCUGGGCUUGUCUUUAACUCCUGGCCUCAAGAAAUCCUCCUGCCUCAACCUUUCAAAGUGAAAGAGUACCUUUUGUUCUUUUGAAUUCAUGACAGUUAAGGAAAUUACGUGAAAUGCUGUACAUAUUCUUUGCCAUCUUUCACUCAGCAUGUUUGUACAAUUCAAAUUGUAGCUGUAGCCUGUUUAUUUUUAUUUCUACACUAAUCCACUACAUGAUUCUAUCAGUUUACACUGUUGGUGAGCACUUGAAGUAAAAAUGAAGACCAAACAUGGGAAAAACAGACUUUUUAUUCAGAGCUUGCUGUAGCAAAGGAAUUAGCCACAAUCUCUUGUGUUUGGCAGACUCAAAGGCAGGUAGGUUUAUAGUGGGGGGGAAAGGGGCAAGGUUCAGGAAUGCUCUGCUUGGAGGGUGUUGGCAUGAGGAAGCUGGAGGCUGACUGGCUGGCCGCAGGUGUCUUACAGGAUUGUUUUGGGGAACCUAUUUGGCUUUCUCUGAUUGGUCCCAAGUUGGAAGAGGGAGCAAAAUGUUGAGAUGAUGACAGUAACUAAGUCUUGACCAUUCUGAAUGGAUCGCUGUGGAGAUUGUGGUUUGGCUUCCAGGACUGGUUGCUGCAGAAGGUGUGGUGAGAGUUCUAUUGUCACAGAAGCUUGUCCAUCGUCCGUGUAUGUGCCUAGUCUCAGAGUUGUUUCCAGUUUCUGACUGCUAGGCUUUUACAUUUCACAUGAAGUAUGAUUUUAGAAAUAAUAUGAACUCUUGCCUGCCAGAACAAGGUCCAGUGAAUUUUAAAGGAAGGAAACACAAUCUAGAACUCGACAGCAAGGGUCAACUAUGAAAAGUUAGGUAUGAAUAUUAUAAUUCCUAGAGCAAGCAUUUUUUCAAAAAUAUAGACAGCCAAUAGAAUACUAAAUUACUCUAUUUGGAAUACUAAUGAACGAGAAACAAAAAGUAGUGAGACAAAAUCACAGGGACAAACAGAAGAAAUAAAAUGGUACACCUAAAUCCAACCACAUCAAUAGUUAUAUCAAAUGUUAACGGUCUAUCUAAGCCAGAAGGCGCAUGGCAAACUUUUUCUGUAAAGAGCCAGAUAUAGGCUUCGCGGACCGUACAGUCUGUGUACUCUGCCUCAAAUUAGCCAUAGGCAAUAUAUAAAUGAGUGAGUAUGGCUGUGUUCCAACAAAACUAUAUUUACAACAACAAACAGGCUGGAUUUAGCCACAGGUUAUAGUUUCCUGACCUUUGCUGUGGAAUUCUAGAGUGUGUUUACUUCCUUUCAAAUUCGUUGGACCUUGUUCUGGCAGGCAGUUAAGUUACUUCUGAAUCUGGGAACUUCUUUUAAUUCUCUUGUUUUUUUUUUUCCAGUUUUGGAAAUUUCCAAGUUUGGAACCACUUAUAAAUUAACAGGCUUUGACUUCUGGCCCCCUUGCUGAGGAAGAGAAGACAAUAAUGGAAGAAGUGUAGAAGGACCCCCUUUCCUCCAAGGCUAACAGACCUCUUCAAAGACCUUCCUACCCCUGGACCACAGCCCGCAUUGGGGAAGAAACUGCCAGAGGGCACAGGUGGUGCUAACCUGGAACAACAGCCCAUUAAAACUGGAGGGUGUGGCCGAGUGGAAAGGUGGAAAGGUGGCCUGAGGGCGCAACUGGAACUCAUCCAUGUAGCUCCACCCCCACCUCACCCCCAAUAAUGACAGGACUAGGACUAGAAGGGAAUGGUUUUCCUGUCACUUUCACUCCAGAGACCCUCCAAAGCCCUCUGUUGGUAAAGCUUAAUGGUCAUUGUGUCAACAGAUGUUUGGAGUCCAGCCCAUGUCCAUCUAUCACAAAGCAGGGCAAAGAAGGGUGGAUUUGGAGCUGAGAGCCAUUGUAUUGAUAACUGGCACAUAAAGUGCUUUAAUUUUUUUCAACUUACUCCCCCCAACACACACACACACACCCCUUCAUAUGUCAAAAUGACACUAAGUUUUCAUUUAAAUCUAUCAUAUAUUGAAAGAGCAAAAAAAAAAAAAAAAAAAA